UACGGAGGGUGCAAGCGUUAUCCGGAUUCACUGGGUUUAAAGGGUGUGUAGGCGGGCAUGUAAGUCAGUGGUGAAAUCUCCGGGCUCAACCUGGAAACUGCCAUUGAUACUAUAUGUCUUGAAUUUUGUUGAGGUUGGCGGAAUAAGUCAUGUAGCGGUGAAAUGCAUAGAUAUGACUUAGAACACCGAUUGCGAAGGCAGCUAACUAAGCAAACAUUGACGCUGAGGCACGAAAGCGUGGGGAUCAAACAGG
rnacentral:rRNA from 1 species